AAAAUCUUAGGUAUGCUUCUUUGACCUUUCUACUUUUUUGCUUCAAAGUAUUUUGACUAGAAUAGUAGGUAUCAUUGUAAUAUUCAUCAUAGAUAUAAUCCAUGUAGAGGCCCAAAUUUGCCCUGGGCCCAACAAGCCCAAAUUAGACAAAAAUAAAAAACAAACAAAACAAAAAAACUAAUCAAAAUUGCAGCCCAAAAAUUAAAACCUAUAUCAGACCCAAAAUCCAAUUUACAAGCCCUAACAGCCCAAGCCCACAAAAUAUUUUCCAGCAAUGAAGGGAGGGAGAACCCUAGGCGCCGUACUAGGUCACUUCAGCCCUCCCCAUACGUGCCGCUGCCCAUGUGCACCGUACCAGUAGCCUCCUAGCCUGCUGCCACAACCUACUCCCGUUCCAUCACCUGCAAAAGAGAAACGAACACACAAAGCAGAGAAAUAGGACAAAAAGAGUAGAUAUAUUGUAAUAUUAGGCUAUAAGAGCCUUAAAAAUGGGGGGAUUCAAGGGGGGAUUUUGAAUACAAAAAAAACAUUGUAUUUUCAUAUGCACCAGAGAAAAAAAAAAAGAAACUUUAGAAGGUUGAUUUCAAUAUUUUCUUUCCGAUCUAAGUUUUCUUGUUUAUUUCAGUUUUGUUCUAUUUCAUCUUCUUUUUAUUUUUAUUUUUUACUUACUCUAAAACAUAAGAAAGGGUGAAUAAAAAAAGAGGAGAAAGGGAAACUUACCCAGAUCUUCGUGGCCCCGACCACCGUCGACGGUGGAAGCCACGGUGGCUUCAAGGAGGCAUGACGACGACGCUAAGAGGGGUUUUUGAAACCCUAGCAGAGAAAGAAAAGAAGAAACUUGGAAUUUUUUUUUAAAAUUAGCAAAAAUGAAGUUUUUUU
rnacentral:lncRNA from 1 species